GCCAGGAUGGUGUAGUGGUUUCAGUGCUAGACUAUGACUCUGGAGAACAGGGUUCCAUUCCCCACUUGAGCA